rnacentral:rRNA from 1 species
GACGAAGGAUCCAAGCGUUAUCCGGAUUCAUUGGGUUUAAAGGGUGCGUAGGCGGCCCGGUAAGUCAGUGGUGAAAUCUCCUUGCUUAACAAGGAAACUGCCAUUGAUACUGCUGGGCUUGAGUACAGAUGCUGUGGGCGGAAUAUGACAUGUAGUGGUGAAAUACAUAGAGAUGUCAUAGAACACCGAUUGCGAAGGCAGCUCACAAAACUGUAACUGACGCUGAGGCACGAAAGUGCGGGGAUCAAAC